CAGCCGCCGCGGUAAUACGGAGGGAGCUAGCGUUGUUCGGAAUUACUGGGCGUAAAGCGCGCGUAGGCGGUUACUCAAGUCAGAGGUGAAAGCCCGGGGCUCAACCCCGGAACUGCCUUUGAAACUAGGUGACUAGAAUCUUGGAGAGGUCAGUGGAAUUCCGAGUGUAGAGGUGAAAUUCGUAGAUAUUCGGGAGAACACCAGUGGCGAAGGCGACUGACUGGACAAGUAUUGACGCUGAGGUGCGAAAGCGUGGGGAGCAAACAGGAUUAGAUACCCCUGUAGUCCCUGUCUCUUAUAC
rnacentral:rRNA from 1 species